AGUGAACGCUGGCGGCGUGCUUAACACAUGCAAGUCGAACGGGGUAGCAAUACCUAGUGGCGCACGGGUGAGUAAUAUAUAGCUAACCUGCCCUUUAGUAGGGGACAACAGUUGGAAACGACUGCUAAUACCCUAUACUCCUUUUUAACUCAAGUUAAAUCGGGAAAGUUUUUUCGCUAAAGGAUGGGGCUGUAUCGUAUCAGCUAGUUGGUGGGGUAACGGCCUACCAAGGCUAUGACACGUAGCUGGUCUGAGAGGAUGAUCAGCCACACUGGAACUGAGACACGGUCCAGACUCCUACGGGAGGCAGCAGUGAGGAAUAUUGCACAAUGGGGGAAACCCUGAUGCAGCAACGCCGCGUGGAGGAUGACACAUUUCGGUGCGUAAACUCCUUUUAAGAGGGAAGAAAUUUGACGGUACCUCUUGAAUAAGCACCGGCUAACUCCGUGCCAGCCGCCGCCGUAA
rnacentral:rRNA from 1 species